rnacentral:rRNA from 1 species
AGCGAACGUUAGCGGCGCGCCUAACACAUGCAAGUCGCACGAGAAAGGGAGCAAUCCCCGGUACAGUGGCGCACGGGUGAGUAACACGUAGAUGACCUUCCCUGGAGUGGUGGAUAACCUGCCGAAAGGCGGGCUAAUACAGCAUGGGACCACAUGGUUUUGACCGAGUGGUGAAAGCGGGCCUCUGUUCACAAGCUCGCGCUCUGGGAUGGGUCUGCGUCCCAUCAGCUAGUUGGUGAGGUAAUGGCUCACCAAGGCAUCGACGGGUAGCUGGUCUGAGAGGAUGACCAGCCACACUGGAACUGAGACACGGUCCAGACUCCUACGGGAGGCAGCAGUGGGGAAUCUUGCGCAAUGGGCGAAAGCCUGACGCAGCGACGCCGCGUGGGUGAUGAAGGCCUUCGGGUUGUAAAGGCCUGUGGGAGGAACGAACCGUACGGGGGCGAACGACCCUCCGUACCUCGACGGUA